GUGGGGAAUAUUGGACAAUGGGCGAAAGCCUGAUCCAGCCAUGCCGCGUGUGUGAAGAAGGUCUUCGGAUUGUAAAGCACUUUAAGUUGGGAGGAAGGGCAGUAAGUUAAUACCUUGCUGUUUUGACGUUACCGACAGAAUAAGCACCGGCUAACUUCGUGCCAGCAGCCGCGGUAAUACGAAGGGUGCAAGCGUUAAUCGGAAUUACUGGGCGUAAAGCGCGCGUAGGUGGUUUUGUAAGUUGGAGGUGAAAUCCCCGGGCUCAACCUGGGAACUGCCUCCAAAACUGCAUGACUAGAGUACGGUAGAGGGUAGUGGAAUUUCCUGUGUAGCGGUGAAAUGCGUAGAUAUAGGAAGGAACACCAGUGGCGAAGGCGACUACCUGGACUGAUACUGACACUGAGGCACGAAAGCGUGGGGAGCAAACAGGAUUAGAAACCCUAGUAGUCC
rnacentral:rRNA from 1 species